GAGGGGGCCAGGAGGGCACACAUGUACUGUUAGGGAGGGGGCUAGGAGGGCACACAUGUACUGUUAGGGAGGGGGCUAGGAGGGCACACAUGUACUGUCAGGGAGAGGGCGAGGAAGGCACACAUGUACUGUUAGGGAGAGGGCCAGGCGGGCACACAUGUACUGUUAGGGAGAGGGCCAGGAGGGCACACAUGUACUGUCAGGGAGAGGGCCAGGAGGGCACACAUGUACUGUUAGGGAGGGGGCUAGGAGGGCACACAUGUACUGUCAGG